AAACUGGAGAGUUUGAUCCUGGCUCAGGACGAACGCUGGCGGCGUGCUUAACACAUGCAAGUCGAGCGAAGCGUAUUGAGUAGUUUACUAUUUAGUACGACUGAGCGGCGAACGGGUGAGUAACACGUGGGUGAUCUACCUGGGAGACGGGGAUAACAGUUCGAAAGGGCUGCUAAUACCCGAUGAUCCCGGCGCUCAGCUUAACAAAACAUUGGGUUACUGGAAAGAGUAGAUAAGAGCAGUA
rnacentral:ncRNA from 1 species